ensembl:lncRNA ALKBH3-AS1 ALKBH3 antisense RNA 1
AGUCAUAGGGCUACUGAAACACAAGGUGACGAGAACUAUUAGGCAAUUGAGUGCAUUCCCUGCAGGGCUGCUCCCACUUCUAUCUGACUUGGGUCUAGAUGACUCAAGUGAUUCCCGAGGGGAAAAUAAUCUAUGUGGAACAGCUGUCAUGAGCAGGCCUUCUGCUGCUCUUCAGCCUCAAUUUCAGCCUGCUACUUCCCGUGACAUCAUUCAGUGAUUCCUCCCUUUAAGGGGACAGUUUUCUCUUGUAUUACAGGUGACUACUUGAAGGUGGCUAGACGAGAGCAUACUGCCACCACUCUUUAUUUGGAGGCCUGUAACCUGUCUUGAGUGUGUUGCAGGAAGACUCAGUUACAGUGUUCCCUGAAUAUGUAGCUUUCCAUUACAAUAGUAUGCAAGCCAAGAUGAAACCACCUCUGUUUGGGUUUCAGCAGCUGUCUGCCUACGGAAGGCUCCAGAGUCCCUGACGCAUAUUUAUAUCUCCACUUCACUGAAGUCACAAGGAACAAACACACACCUGCCAUUUCCCAAAUCUCAUAAAACAUAUAAAUGGAUGAGACCAAAGAGAGGCAUGAGAUUCCAUUCUUAUGGUUCACAGGAAGCACCUGGCACACAGUAACUAUUAUUAAUUUCUGCACUGGAGGCAUCAGGAAAGCCUUCACGCUAUAGGGGGCCCUUUUAAGUUAAGAAGUUGGAGAGCAAGCCUCGGGGAAAGCAAAGAGAUAACUUAGUAGAAUGGAGCAACCAUACGGGAACAGUGAGAGUCCAUGGAUCUCCCUGGGCUAAGAUCAUGUAUGGAUUUGGCAAUCUGGGGUGGAAGCCACAUGUGCUGUUAUUAAGUGGAAAUGUCUCGUGAACAUGUGGAAAGUGAUGACUGGAACUUCAGAUGAAAGUCAAAGCUGGAGAUAGGAGAUUCAGAAGUCACCCCACCAAAGAAGGAAUGGUUAAAGCUAUAAGAACUAAUGAGAUCCUAUUUAUUUGCUUAUUCAAUCAACAUAUGUAGAACUAAAUGCUAAGAAUGUAAUGAUAAAUAAGACAGAAAGGGACCUUGCCCAUAUGGUAUUUACAAUCUACUGCCAGUUCAUAAUCUCCUAAAAAAUAAUGUAGAGAACAAUAACAGAAUCAAAGAAAUCUUGAACGUCUAUAUUUAAGGGGUUGAAUGUAAAAGAAAAGGCCUUAAAGGAGGCAGAAAAAUAGCAAUGAGAAAAGUUUGGGAAUUCUAAAACAAGACAGUAUUUCAGAGGAAGAAAACGCAGGUAAUACAUGGGCAAGUUUCACACACAGAGGUGAUGCAUCCUGGUGACCAAUAUUACAAGGAAGAGAGAUGAUGACUGAGGACAGGCUGGUGGACUUGAUUUGAGGUCAACGGUAUGAGGAUAAUUUCAGCAGAGUGGUGGGAUGGAGCGAAACAGCAGGUGUGUCAAUAAUGAGUUAAGCUUUGAGAAAGGGGAGACUUCAGAUGCAGACAACUCAUUCCUGAAUCUGUGCUUCAAAAACAAGAAAAAGCCCAAGAUGUCAGGAUAUCUGCAGGGUCAAGCAAAGCAUUUUUUUCACGAUGGUAAUAGGUAAAAGAGAUUUCUCUAGCCCGCUGGUCUAAGGAUCAGACAGAGGGUGGAGGUGCUUGAUAAGGAUGGUCAUGGCAUUUUUUGCAGACUGAAAUGAUAUUUGAAAACUAAAUGCUAGCCUGUGUUACAGCUACUUACCCGCUGAGGAUCAAACGUACAUUUAUUUGCCCUAUUGCCCAACUUAUGGCUAUGCCAGUAAUGUCCUCUUUUUUUCCUUAUCAUUUCUUUUCAGCUUGUUUUCCCAAACUGUGGUGUUGCCUUGCCCUUGAGAACCCAGCUGAGGUCUAGACUGUUUCAUGGAUCACCUAAGCUUGGAGCUACAGUUGGGCUGCAAAGUUGUUCCUCUAGUGCUGAUACAAGAACAUAGCUGGUCCUCUUGUUCAUAGUGGUAAAAUAUUUUUAAAAUCUGACAUAAACACAACAUAUUAAUUACAGAAAUGAUGGAGAGAGAAUAAAGCUGGGACCCCACAAA